CCUACGGGUGGCAGCAGUGAGGAAUAUUGGUCAAUGGGCUUACGCCUGAACCAGCCAAGUCGCGUGGGGGAAGACUGCCCUAUGGGUUGUAAACCUCUUUUGUCAGGGAGCAACGCCGGCUACGUGUAGCCGGACUGAGAGUACCUGACGAAAAAGCAUCGGCUAACUCCGUGCCAGCAGCCACGGUAGUACGGAGGAGGCGAGCAUUAUCCGGAUUUAUUUGGUUUAAAGGGUGCGUAGGCGGCAUGCCAAGUCAGCGGUAAAAGCGCGGGGCUAAACCGCGCGACGCAGUUGAAACUGGCGUUCUUGAGUGGGGGAGAAGUAUGCGGAAGGCGUGGUGUAGCGGUGAAAUGCAUAGAUAUCACGCAGAACUCCGAUUGCGAAGGCAGCAUACCGGCGCCCAACUGACGCUGAAGUACGAAAGCGUGGGUAUCGAACAGGAUUAGAUACCCGAGUAGUC
rnacentral:rRNA from 1 species